ensembl:lncRNA
AGAAGACGUAACUCUGACCGAGUAACAAACGGCUUCCUAUCCGUUACAAAGGGUCUGGUCAAGCGCAGUGCACUCGUAUUUACAGCUGUCAGGAGGCCGGAGAGAAAGAACGACAGGGAGGGAGAAGAAGAGAGCGUGAAGAGGUCACAAUGCGAGGAUAGCAGAAUCAGUCUCAAACGGAGCAGUCACAUGUUAAAGACUCCUGGCCAAGUGAACUUGAUAUCAGCCUAAUGAAAGUCUACGUUGUGUUAUGGAGCUCCUCCACGUGAUACAGUACCGCCAGACCCAGCCAGGAUAACGAAGCCUUCCCAGUCUGCAGCUCUGUCUCGGGGACAGAAGGACCAUAGCCCUCCUCACAAGAAGAAGACCACACUAGACAAUGACUGGACAUAUAUCCUGGCCUGUUGCCCCUGUGGCUGAUGCUGUGGUCGGUCUGAUUUGCAGUACAGUAUAGUGUUAGGCCAUGCCGUCUCAAACAAAGAUAGUGGCUUCUCAAACAUCACAACAUCGCAACUGGGUUUCAAAGAGACCAAACCGGUAUUACAGUUCAUUCUAAGUGUUCAUAAGCAGUACAUAUUAAUAAAUCAUAUUUCGAAUGAUAUUGUUAAAAAGGCUUUAUGUGCUAUCAUUGUCUUAGUUGUGCCAUCUUUAGAACAGCUGAUGUAUUCAGACUGAUUUAUAUUUGUUCUGUAUUUACAGAAGUCCCUACUUGAGUCUUUCACAAGACUCAGUGACUAACCAUUGUCAUAAACGGUAUGUUACGUAACAGACUUACACAACACAUCAUGUAAACUGGAACUAUUGCUAACUCACUAUUGCUCAAAAAAAUAAACUGUGAGCUAACCACGCCCCAAAAUGUGUGUAUACAUUUCAAUCAAACUAACCCUUUGUGUAUUGCAAAAAACAAUUGAUGAGCGCAAAGGGUUCCACAUAGAACCCUUACUAAAGAACCCUUAAGGAACCGUUGUUUUUUUGUGUGGGUCCUAAUUUUUCUUAUUUCUUCACUGUUCUGUAUUUGAUUUUAUAUUCUUAAUGGUUUUUAUUUUUUCUUAUUUCUGUAACAGUACCUCUGUCAAAUGGAUAUUUAAAUUGUUUUUAUGUAAAGCACUUUGAAUGACCAUUGUGUAUGAAAUGUGCUAUAUAAAUAAAAUUGCCUUGCCUUGCCUAAUGGGGCUUAAGCAAGUUUGGC